UUCGACCCGAGCGAAGCGAGAGAACGUUGCGUCAGCAACGGCCCGCAGGGCGAGCCAUGCAGUGGCGAGUCAUCCUCUAUCACCGACCA
rnacentral:sRNA from 1 species